rnacentral:lncRNA from 1 species
GCAGGGGGACAGCGGGGACACCAACGACAGCAGGGACAGAGGGACAUUGGGGACACAGGGACAUUGAGGACAGAAGGACAUUGGGGACAUUGGGGACAGAGGGACAUUUGGGACAUUGGGGACAUUGAGGACAGAAGGACAUUGGGGACACUGGGGACAGAAGGACAUUGGGGACACUGGGGUCACAGCGGGGUCCCGAGCAGUGUCCCCAUCCCCGUGUCCCAGUGAGGGCCGGGGCCACCGCGGAUCCCAAAGGGCUCCAGGACCCCAAAGGAUCCCAAAGGUCCCAGAGACCCCAAAGUGUCCCACAGACCCCCAAAAGGUCCCAGAGACCCCAAAAGAUCCCAGAGACCCCAAAGGAUCCCAGAGACUCCAAAGAUCCCACAGACCCCAAAAGAUUCCACAGACCCCAAAAGAUCCCACAGACCCCAAAGUGUCCCACAGACCCCAAAGAUCCCACAGACCCCAAAGUGUCCCACAGACCCAAAAGGCUCCACAGACCCCAAAGGGCUCCAGGACCCCAAAGGAUCCCAAAGAUCCCACAGACCCCAAAGAUCCCAGAGACCCCAAAAGAUCCCACAGACCCCAAAGAUCCCACAGACCCCAAAGUGUCCCACAGACCCCAAAGGUCCCCCAGACCCCAAAAGGCUCCACAGACCCCCAAAAGGCUCCAGAGACCCUCAGUUUCUAUCGACCCCAAAAGGAUUUUAUGGCCCCUGAAGGGUUUUAGGGACCCCAAAAGUUCCCACAGCCCCCAAGGUUUUAUUGACCCCAAAAGAUCCCACGGACCCCUACGGGUUCUGCAGACCCCAAAAGGAUUUUAUGAACCCCAAAAAGGAUUUUAUAAAACCCAAAAAGGAUUUUAUGGACCCCAAAAAGGAUUUUAUGAACCCCAAAAAGGAUUUUAUGGAUCCCAAAAAUUUCUGGAGACCCCAAAGAUUUCCAGGGAUGGAUUUUGCAGCCCCAAAGGUCAAAGGUCAGCGGGGUUUUAUGGCUUUGGGGUUUUAUGGCUUUGGGGUUUAAUUGCUUUAGGGUUUAAUUCCUUUAGGGUUUUAUGGCUUUAGGGUUUAAUUGCUUUAGGGUUUAAUUGCUUUGGGGUUUAAUUGCUUUGGGGUUUAAUUGCUUUGGGGUUUUAUGGCUUUGGGGUUUAAUUGCUUUGGGGUUUAAUUGCUUUGGGGUUUAAUUGCUUUGGGGUUUAAUUCCUUUAGGGUUUAAUUGCUUUGGGGUUUAAUUGCUUUGGGGUUUAAUUGCUUUGGGGUUUAAUUGCUUUGGGGUUUUAUGUCUUUGGGGUUUUCUGGCCCCGGGGUUUUAUGGCCCCGGGUUUACACCCCGAUGUGUGAAAGUGCCUCCUGCCAUAAAGAUCUGGGAACUUUUAUGGGUUCGGCGCCUUCCUGGGGCAGCGAGGGCGGGGUGGGAUUGGGGCUGUGCCGGGAGCCCCCGACCCCAAAGCCACGGGACCCCUGACCCUAAAUAAAUAACCCCUGACCCCAUGGGAACCCA